CAGACAGCCUUACUUCAGAAACAUCAAAAGUGUAAUGAUAUUAAUAGAAUCACUUAGGCCUGAGAAAAUAGAGAUAAUCUGUCAUUUACAAGUAAAUGACAACUCAAGAUUUGUAACUGCUGGACUGCAUAAUAUGGCCACAAAAUGCUUCCACAAGCAUUGUCCAGGAAAUUAUUACACAAAAUGCUUCCCCAAGCAUGAGUCCAGAAAAUUAUUGCACAGCUGUAGCACAAGUGUGGAGGAGAUUAGUAGAGACUUUCAAUAGAUUUUUAGGUUCUCCAUCUUUAAAAAUACCUUUCAUUCUCAAUGCAGCUUGAUUGCAUAUAGUAGCUGGCAUGAAGGCAAUAAACAGCUAUAGCAAAGUCUUGGGAAGAAAUUACCAGCAUAUUUGGAUAUGCUGACAAUGUAGCUGCAGGAUGGAAAAAACUUUCAGUAUCUGAAUCAUAGGAAGAAGGACAGGAUCAUGAUUCUGCAACCUUAAACAGAGGAGGAAGUCUUUGAAGGAAAUUAUUCCCCCCUGCUCUGGGCAGAGAUGCAAGCAGAAGGUGAUGGAUGUCUUGGGACACUAUUUCCAAAUCGCUGGGACAGCACAUUGGCCAAGGUAAAUGAAAUUUUGUUUCCCAAGAAUUUUAUUAAUCAUCAUGCACUCUUUAAAGAAAAUCGUGACACAGC